AUACUUACCUUGUUUCAGUGCUCCGAGAUCAAGCAUUCGGAGUACUAGUGUAGGAGGCCUGCAUUGCACAUCGCGGAGUCAUCCUGUGCUCAAUUGUCCUUCGGGGCCAUUGGAGGCGGAAUUUUUGAUCUAUUUACCUUGUGCUUUCAUUGUGGGC
rnacentral:snRNA from 19 species